rnacentral:rRNA from 1 species
CAGCAGCCGCGGGAACACGAAGGGGGCUAGCGUUGCUCAGAAUGACUGGGCGUAAAGGGCGCGUAGGCGGUGCGGAUAGUCAGAUGUGAAAUUCCUGGGCUUAACCUGGGGGCUGCAUUUGAUACGUCCGCGCUUGAGUGUGGAAGAGGGUCGUGGAAUUCCCAGUGUAGAGGUGAAAUUCGUAGAUAUUGGGAAGAACACCGGUGGCGAAGGCGGCGACCUGGUCCAUAACUGACGCUGAGGCGCGAAAGCGUGGGGAGCAAACAGGAUUAGAUACCCCCGUAGUCCCUGUCUCUUAUAC